rnacentral:lncRNA from 1 species
CUUACAUUACCUACACCAGAGCCACAGCAACGCGGAAUCUGAGCCGCGUCUGCAACCCACACCACAGCUCAUGGGAACGCCGGAUCGUUAACCCACUGAGCAAGGGCAGGGACCGAACCCGCAACCUGAUGGUUCCUAGUCAGAUUCGUUAACCACUGCGCCACGACGGGAACUCCUACAGUUAAAUUUUAAGUCACACAAAAGUAUUUGUCAAGCACCCAGUAUUUGAAGGAUAUGUUGCUGAGAAUAAACAGAAGAUCAAUGAGAAUUAGAUAGAGGCUUUGUUUUCAAAGUUGUUUCCAUCCCUCUCUUUUUUCCUCCUUUCCCCUUUACCCACCUGCCUGUUUUUUUUCUACCAGGCUCUGGGACUAAAUCUGUUGGCCCAUGUUUUGUUUUUUGCUCUCAUCUGGGCAAACCCUUGGGUUUCCUUUUUCCGCAAAUGCUGCUUCCUUCUUCUAUUCUUCUAUUGCUAUAACCUAUGCCCUGGGAAAGCAGGAAGGAAAUAAUACAAAUAAUAAACAGGGAGAAAUGACAAAUAUUACAGAAUUUUUCAAAGUCUUUGAAAAUCAUAAAAGAGUAACAGAUGCUCUUUAUAUUUCUCAUUGUGGGGACUAAAUAACAGUUACUUCCUUUCUCCUGAUUUAGACAAUACCAUUGGGGAUUCAGGGAAUGUGGGAAGAGAUGAGCUUUCCUUUGAACACAAAAUUAAGCAGAUUAGCAAGACUCUAUUUUCAGUAAGGGGGCAGUUUUCCUUUCUGAGGAUUUCUAGAUAAUGUGACUUCUCUGCUUCACACAGUACCAACAGUUUUGAGAAAUUCCUCAUAGGACCUUCUUCGCAGAUUUAGCAGUACCUUUGUCUUAUUAAAUAGGCUUGGCUCAUAGUAGCUUUUGUCUGUUUUUUAAAAACAAAAUACACAUUUAUAGGAUUGAGAUUCAUUACGAAAUGAAAUUUAAAAAUACUCUAUGACUUUAAAAAUGUGCUUUUGAGUUCUGAAGGCACUCCAGCAGGAGUAACUCCACACUGGUUUCCACUAUAGCAGAGGCACUGGAGGGAAUACAGCCUUUUAAACUGAACGUUGAGAGGAACAGCACUCCUGUAGGCAUGUUUUACAAAUCCUUGCAAAACAAAAUUAUGACACUUAGAGACAAUGCCAGAGGUCCAGAAAUUCCACCUUUAAAGAUGGCCUCUGUAGAAAUUAAAGUUAACUCUCAUUUCAUUACAUAGAAAGACUUGAAAAUAUCUUUACCACAUUAGAUACUAUGCUUAAAUUGGCCUGACUCAAAUAUUGGAUAGAGACAGAGUUCAAUUUGGCCAAUACUAGGGCAGGGGCACCUCUGAGAGAUGGGCAGAUAUUGUCCAGUGACUGAUGGUCAUCUUGCUGGCUUCUUCACAUAUAUGCAACAUCAUGCUGUACCCUGGUGUGAUCUAUAUCUUUAAGGAUGUUUAAUGCUUCCCAGAGCAAUGUGGGGGUCAGUUUAAAAGAUUGUCAGAUUUAGUGCAGUGCUAGUUUAUUUUGACUUUAUCUGUUCCUUCUUGAAAAAAGGAUCAACAGUUCUAAGUGAUAUUGGCUUUGGUUAUUAUGAAAUUAUUCAUAAUGAAUUACUUAAUUGUAUAGAUAAAAUAACUGGUCACUUCUGUGAUAUACAUCAUAUUAUCAGUAUUUUUUUGUGCACUGGAGAUCAGAAUACUCAGAUUCAGAAGACCUGUAUUUUAGCCUUAAGUAUUCUUACAUAAAUCUGGGUCAUGUUAAUUUCUUCUGAAAUGAGAUGGAAUGUAAAUUAGUAAUUCAUGUUUCCUGUGUUUUUGGGAAAUUACUAACUUAAACUCUUUGAAAUUGAGUUUUAUCAUUUCCAAAGUGGGAAUAAUGCUAGUCAUUUUACUCCUGGAGUUGUGAUGAGAAUGUGGUGAAGUAACAAAUGCUCUGUAAACUUUGAAAUAUAAAAUAUAAACUGUACAGUGUUGUGGUAAUCUUUCCUUUGUUGUGUUCCUCAAGAAACAGACUCUGAGGUGGAGAUUUUUGUGCAGAGAGUUUGUUGUAGAAUGCUUUUUUUGGCAACAGGUUCUGUGAGAGAAUGAAAAAGCCAGGAUUGAGCAGAGGAAGAAAUUGAACAAGGAUACAAUUGCAGACAAGGCCUCAGCCAGUUAUAAGGGAACACUGAAUUUCUUUUGGAGUCCUAAGCUGAGGCAAGGAGGCCAGACUUUUGUACCCCUGAAUCAGCCCAUCAUUAGAUGUACCCUUGCUGAUGGGAUAAUCUUGGAUGAGGCAGUACAUCUGAGUAGAUACAAAUACUUGGGGAAGGACUUGACUGUGACUCAUCUCUGGGAAACACUACUAACUGCUGGGGAAAUGAGUGGGUCUUAGAAUAUCUUGAUGGUGUACCAUAAGCAUCCAUCACAAUGCACCAUGCAAAUCCAUUUGAUCUGUAUAAUUUAUACCAUCUGAGAACAGCUACAGAAUUCUAGCUGCUCUCUUUUACUGAGGGAAAUUGAAAAAAGGAAGCUUAGAAAUGUACUAUACAGCUCUAGCUACUGCAUCUGGUCUCAGGACUAUACAAAAACCAAGAAAAACAAACAGCAAAUCCCAUGACACCAAAAUCCUUUUCCACUACUCAUUCUAGAUUCUUUGUAUCUUUAGCUAACACCUCUACUGGUCAGUUGUAUUAAAUGGUAAAGUCACCCAGUCCAUCCCUGGAGGCUCUUUUCUCAAAGUGCAUCUUCCUCUUGACCAUUUACUGUCAAAAUUGGGGCAAGGGAAUACUGACAGGCAUCCCAGCAGAUUUCUGUAUGCCAAGUGUAUUCUUCUCUGCCUCUUGCCUGUAACUAAUCUUGAAGAUCAGAAUACAUAUGCCGCAGGUGUGGCACCAAAAAGCAAAAAAAGCUUCUUGGUGGAAGCAAGACCUAUUAAUCUACAGAAUCUGGAGUCGUAGCACAGGAAGCAUAUAUUCCCUUAAGUAAGUUCCUGGAAUGAUGAUAAGUGGGCCACUUUUACUUUUUUGUUCCCCCAACCCAUAUUUUCUAAGAGUUGGGGACAUAGCACUGUAAUGGUCAUUUAUUUGUGGUGCACUUGUGUCUUGGAUGAUGGAUCCAUGAUUUGUAGGAUAUCAUCACUAAGAUGGUACCACAGAUAACUCCUUCAAAAGGCUCUUUAGUUGUAUUAUCAAGCCAGCAGUUUUCUGGGUCAUGUAGUGUAUGAUAGGAUCAGUGAAUCUCUUGGCCAUAUGUUCACUGCCUCCCGUCUUAAAGGGAGUUCCUUGGUAUGAGGUGGUUAUAUGGCAUUAAUAGGUCAGUGGACCUAACUAGAAACCUUUGUAUUGCCAUGGCAGAUGAUAAAAAAGGCUCAGAGAAAGUGGAUAUACUGGUGUGAAUAUACAAUAUAAAGUAAAUAUCUUGCUAGCCAACUAUGUUUCUGCAAGAGGCCCCAGAAGACACUCCAUUCACCAAAGCAAUUGGGAAUAUUCUGGUGAGAAGGGUGACAGUGUCAUAUGGAAGAUUUCUUCUCUGUGGGCUAGGACUACUGGUAGGCAAUGCUGUUAUACAACUGGGCUUCUUAGUAACAGUGGGGAUAAUAGAAUCCUGAAAUAAAAGGCUGAAUAAAAGGCAGUUGUUUGGUGAGGAUGUCGAUGCAAAUUUGUCUCAGGGAAAGGAACACCUUUUGGAUGAGGGUGAUGCCUAGGUAAAGACUUGGCUAUGAGCUAUAAACAGAGAAGAAAAGAAAUUCCCAGCCCCUGGGUGAAUAAGUGCUUUGGUUGGGAAGGGGAAGUGGUGAUUGUGGAUGAAAGCAGCAUAGCAUCUGUUUCAACCUUCAAAAACAGAUGGGCAGUGUCAGUUAUUAAUUUUUAAGUAAAAUGUGAUAAUGGCUCAGCCAGUACAUUGAGAACAUAAGUAACUUAAGGUGCUUAGCACCAAGAUGAGAGUGUUGAAUGUAAUACAUUCUCAUACUGUUUCUUAGAAACCUAAUAUAGCCUAAACCUAAUUUUUUUUUUUUUUUUCCUUAUAGGGCCGCACCUGAGGCAUAUGGAAGUUUCUAGGCUUCGGAUCAAAUUGGAGCUGUAGUUGAUGGCCUAUGCCACAGCCACAGCAAGAUGGGAUCUGAGCCAUGUCAGCAAGCUACAUCACAGCUCACAGCAAUGCUGGGUCCUUAACCCACUGAAUGAGGCCAGGGAUGGAACCUGAAUCCUUACAGAUACUGGUUGGGUUCAUUACUGCUGAGCCACAACAGGAGCUCCUAAACCUAGUUUUUUUUGUAUACAGUUUAAGUGAAGAAAUGCCACAGUUUUAAAUAAUUAAAUGAAAGUUAUUUUAAAAAAUGUAAUUUCUGACCUGAGGCUUGACCUGUCCACCAUGUUGGAGAACACAGGUUAAAAUGAGUUUAAACCAACUGACUUCAAAGUGGAACAUGGUUUAGUGAGAUAUUGGCGGAAAGGUCAGGUAAAAGAAUGUCUUCAAUAAUAGUCCAAAGAAAUAUACAGACUAGCUGUUUAUUAUUAAAUUCAGUGAGAUACAAACAUCAUCAACCCUUACUUAUUUCUCUGGCCAUGAAUUAGAAGGGGGAGGAGUAUGAAGAAUGGAUGGGGUAGGCAAUAUAUUACUCACAGGAUAUUUGGUAAGGUGAUAUUUGAUUUUCAAGAAGCAAUGAUUUUCAGAGUUCCCAUCGUAGCUCAGUGGUUAACGAUUCCGACUAGGAACCAUGAGUUUGCGACCUUGCUCAGUGGGUUAAGCAUCUGGCAUUGCUGUGAGCUGUGGUGUAGGCCAGCUCAGAUCCCGCAUUGCUGUGGCUCUGGUGUAGGCCGGCGGCUAUAGCUCUGAUUGGACCCCUAGCCUGGGAACUUCCAUAUGC